rnacentral:rRNA from 1 species
ACAGUGGACGCGAGCAUCUGUGGCCAAGUUUUUAAGGGCGCACGGUGGAUGCCUUGGCACCAGGAACCGAUGAAGGACGUGGGAGGCCACGAUAGGCCCCGGGGAGUCGUCAACCAGGCUUUGAUCCGGGGGUGUCCGAAUGGGGAAACCCGGCAGUCGUCAUGGGCUGUCACCCGCUGCUGAACACAUAGGCAGUGUGGAGGGAACGCGGGAAGUGAAACAUCUCAGUACCCGCAGGAAGAGAAAACAACCGUGAUUCCGGGAGUAGUGGCGAGCGAAACUGGAUGAGGCCAAACCGUAUACGUGUGAGACCCGGCAGGGGUUGCGUGUGCGGGGUUGUGGGAUCUCUCUUCCACGGUCUGCCGGCCGUGGGGCGAGUCAGAAACCGUUGAUGUAGGCGAAGGACAUGCGAAAGGUCCGGCGUAGAGGGUAAGACCCCCGUAGUCGAAACGUCAGCGGCUUGCUUGAGAGACACCCAAGUAGCACGGGGCCCGAGAAAUCCCGUGUGAAUCUGGCGGGACCACCCGCUAAGCCUAAAUAUUCCCUGGUGACCGAUAGCGGAUAGUACCGUGAGGGAAUGGUGAAAAGUACCGCGGGAGCGGAGUGAAAUAGUACCUGAAACCGUGUGCCUACAAGCCGUGGGAGCGUCGGACAUCAAGCUUGCUUGGUGUCUCGUGACUGCGUGCCUUUUGAAGAAUGAGCCUGCGAGUUUGCGGUGUGUUGCGAGGUUAACCCGGGUGGGGUAGCCGUAGCGAAAGCGAGUCCGAACAGGGCGAUUUUAGUAGCACGCUCAAGACCCGAAGCGGAGUGAUCUAGCCAUGGGCAGGUUGAAGCGGAGGUAAGACUUCGUGGAGGACCGAACCCACCAGGGUUGAAAACCUGGGGGAUGACCUGUGGUUAGGGGUGAAAGGCCAAUCAAACUCCGUGAUAGCUGGUUCUCCCCGAAAUGCAUUUAGGUGCAGCGUCGUGUGUUUCUUGCCGGAGGUAGAGCACUGGAUAGGCGAUGGGCCCUACCGGGUUACUGACCUUAGCCAAACUCCGAAUGCCGGUAAGUGAGAGCGCGGCAGUGAGACUGUGGGGAUAAGCUCCAUGGUCGAGAGGGAAACAGCCCAGAGCAUCGACUAAGGCCCCUAAGCGUACGCUAAGUGGGAAAGGAUGUGGAGUCGCACAGACAACCAGGAGGUUGGCUUAGAAGCAGCCACCCUUGAAAGAGUGCGUAAUAGCUCACUGGUCUAGUGAUUCCGCGCCGACAAUGUAGCGGGGCUCAAGCGUACCGCCGAAGUCGUGUCAUUGCAGCAAUACGGCCAACGCCGGCUGUGAUGGGUAGGGGAGCGUCGUGUGCCGGGUGAAGCAGCCGCGUAAGCGAGUUGUGGACGGUUCACGAGUGAGAAUGCAGGCAUGAGUAGCGAUACAAACGUGAGAAACGUUUGCGCCGAUUGACUAAGGGUUCCUGGGUCAAGCUGAUCUGCCCAGGGUAAGUCGGGACCUAAGGCGAGGCCGACAGGCGUAGUCGAUGGAUAACCGGUUGAUAUUCCGGUACCCGCUGUGAAGCGUCAAACAUCGAAUCCAGUGAUGCUAAGGCCGUGAAGCCGCCCCUGAUCUCUUCGGAGUGAGGGGGAGUGGUGGAGCCGCUGAACCAAGUUGGUAGUAGGUGAGUGAUGGGGUGACGCAGGAAGGUAGUCCAUCCCGGGCGGUGGUUGUCCCGGGGUAAGGGUGUAGGACGUCAGGUAGGUAAAUCCGCCUGGCAAUAGUCUGAGACCUGAUGCCGAGCCGAUUGUGGUGAAGUGGAUGAUCCUAUGCUGUCGAGAAAAGCCUCUAGCGAGUUUCAUGGCGGCCCGUACCCUAAACCGACUCAGGUGGUCAGGUAGAGAAUACCGAGGCGUUCGGGUGAACUAUGGUUAAGGAACUCGGCAAAAUGCCCCCGUAACUUCGGGAGAAGGGGGGCCAUUCUUGGUGAUCGGAUUUACUCCGUGAGCUGGGGGUGGCCGCAGAGACCAGCGAGAAGCGACUGUUUACUAAAAACACAGGUCCGUGCGAAGCCGUAAGGCGAUGUAUACGGACUGACGCCUGCCCGGUGCUGGAACGUUAAGGGACCGGUUAGCUCCAUUUCGGUGGGGCGAAGCUGAGAACUUAAGCGCCAGUAAACGGCGGUGGUAACUAUAACCAUCCUAAGGUAGCGAAAUUCCUUGUCGGGUAAGUUCCGACCUGCACGAAUGGCGUAACGACUUCUCGACUGUCUCAACCAUAGGCCCGGUGAAAUUGCACUACGAGUAAAGAUGCUCGUUUCGCGCAGCAGGACGGAAAGACCCCGGGACCUUUACUACAGUUUGAUAUUGGUGUUCGGUUCGGCUUGUGUAGGAUAGCUGGGAGACUUUGAAGCUCGCACGCCAGUGUGGGUGGAGUCGUCGUUGAAAUACCAGUCUGGUCGUGCUGGAUGUCUAACCUGGGUCCGUGAUCCGGAUCAGGGACAGUGUCUGAUGGGUAGUUUAACUGGGGCGGUUGCCUCCUAAAGGGUAACGGAGGCGCCCAAAGGUUCCCUCAGCCUGGUUGGCAAUCAGGUGUUGAGUGUAAGUGCACAAGGGAGCUUGACUGUGAGACCGACGGGUCGAGCAGGGACGAAAGUCGGGACUAGUGAUCCGGCGGUGGCUUGUGGAAGCGCCGUCGCUCAACGGAUAAAAGGUACCCCGGGGAUAACAGGCUGAUCUUCCCCAAGAGUCCAUAUCGACGGGAUGGUUUGGCACCUCGAUGUCGGCUCGUCGCAUCCUGGGGCUGGAGUCGGUCCCAAGGGUUGGGCUGUUCGCCCAUUAAAGCGGUACGCGAGCUGGGUUUAGAACGUCGUGAGACAGUUCGGUCCCUAUCCGCUGUGCGCGUAGGAGUCUUGAGAAGGGCUGUCCCUAGUACGAGAGGACCGGGACGGACGAACCUCUGGUGUGCCAGUUGUUCUGCCAAGGGCAUGGCUGGUUGGCUACGUUCGGGAGGGAUAACCGCUGAAAGCAUCUAAGCGGGAAGCCUGCUUCGAGAUGAGGACUCCCACCUCCUAGAGAGGGUAAGGCUCCCAGUAGACGACUGGGUUGAUAGGCCAGAUAUGGAAGCCGGGUAACCGGUGGAGUUGACUGGUACUAAUAGGCCGAGGGCUUGUCCUCAGUUG